CACACUCACACGCUCAUCAAUCUCAAAAUGGCUUUUUCUUCAUCAAUCUAAAAUCUCACAAACUCCAUUGAUCUCAAACCUCACAAACUUAAGCUAUAUCGAUUCCCUCACAAACCUAGAAACUCCAUUGAUCAAUCUCACCUCACAAACCUCAUCAAGCUCUGAAUCGAUUCCCUACUGUAUCGAUUUUCAAAUCGAUUUUGUUGUUCGUAUUUUGUUCAAAUUGAUUUAGGGAUCUUCAAAUCGAUUUUGCUCUUAAUCGUUCUCAAGCUCACAAUCGAUUCUGCGUGCAAUUUGGACGUGAUAUUGAAAAGCUAUAUAUUCAAGCUUAAGCUGAAACGCGCGUGCAUUCUGCCGUCAAAACAAACACAACAUCAAUCUGUAUCGAUUUUGUUCAAACUGUAUCAAUCUCAAUCGUCGCCUUCAUCGACCGUCGGACCGCCGAUCUUCGAACUCGCUCUGGAUCAUUUUCAAUCGCUCACCACGUCUGUGUCAGCAUAUUUGUUAAAGUAGUGAGAGUUGAAAUCCUUGUAUUUGAAGGACUUGAAAAUUGGUGGAUUAUGUUCAUCAGUGAUAGCUUGUGCUGGCUCGACGU